CCCCAGCGUAGUAUUUUUUACACAGAUUUACAUAAUGCCUUACAUUCAUUUCCUUUACUUGUACUGUAAUCCGCUGCAUACGUUACAUUUGCAUGCACUCUCCUGCUUUCUCACGGUGCACUUCUCUCCGGCCUUGAAAGGGCCCCCACCAACAUCCCAUUGGAGUGGUCGGGAGCAAAUCGACCACAGGAGGAUGGGCGAAAUGAGAACAGACAGGAGCUGAGGCCCUUGGGGUGUAGAUGGUCUCGGAAGUGGCAUGGCAGAGGUCCUGGAGCUCAGUGGGCAUGCUCCACGCCCCCUGAGGACAAGCCAGGAAAGGAUGGGUCUGCAGGCUCUGAGGAUUUAGGGGGGCGCGGUGGAGCGGCGGGCUUGGCCGGGUCCUGCUCUCUGGCGGGUCUGAGGUUCGAGUCCCUCUUGGGGUGCCAUGCGACGGACUGGCGUCCCGUCCUGGGUGUGUCCCCUCCCCCCUCCAGCCUUACGCCCCGUGUUGCCAGGCCACACCAGAGCUACGAUCCCGCACCGGUCCUCCUGGACUGCUGCCUGAGACCAGGCUCCUUCCCUUGGCAGCCCGCACUUUCCCGUCGCCGCAAAACGUCUUUGGGACCCUGUACCUGGUGACACCUACCACGGCGCGCUGUCAACAUGCAGACAAGCCCCAACGCACAGUGCGGAUGUGCGUCCCGUCUCUGGAUCUUGGCGGACAUCGUGUUCCACUUUCAAUGAAUUUUGCAUGACCCGUUACGUUUUACCCCCUCGGGGUUUUCCCAAAGUGCUGAUCCCAGGCCUGAGAUGCAGGGAUGAAAAGAGCGCAGGAAACAAGAGAUGUGUUAUUUAAGUGCCUGGGCCAUUUUUUUUUUUGUUGUUUUUUUUUGUUGGUUCUUUUUUAAAAUUUUGAUCUUCGUCCUGUCACCAGGUGGAAGCAGCCCAUAGGCAGGGUGGUGUCAAGGUGAACAUGAGGAGGCUCUGUUUAUCUUGUCACCUGAGCAACUGCCUCCACGACACCCACGCAGCCAACGGUGCUGCAGAAAAGUGAACCGUUGACGAGGACGUGAUCUGUCGGACAACAGGCACCUGCGGUUGAACCGCUUCGGAAGUUUUUGGGAGCUACACGUUCAAUUAUACCGCUACGACUCUUCAGCAAUUAUGAGAAGCCCAGCAUAUGUUCUCAGAGAGUGGGUGAGGUCUGAGCACAUGGGAUGGGCCAUGUGAGAGGAUCACCACUAAACUGUCCAGGCAAUUGUAAGACUUACUGAGUUUCAAAACCUGACAUUAACAGCAUGUCAUCGAGUCACAUCCAGUCAUAUCUAAAGCUGACAAUUAAUGAGUUACUUUCCCUGUAACGUUCAGAAUCAAUAGUAAUUAUUAUUUUCAGUAAGAAAACCCUGC
rnacentral:lncRNA from 1 species